rnacentral:rRNA from 1 species
UACAGAGGGGGCAAGCGUUGUUCGGAAUUACUGGGCGUAAAGGGCGCGUAGGCGGCCUGUUAAGUCGAACGUGAAAUCCCUGGGCUCAACCCAGGAACUGCGUCCGAUACUGGCAGGCUUGAAUUCGGGAGAGGGAUGCGGAAUUCCAGGUGUAGCGGUGAAAUGCGUAGAUAUCUGGAGGAACACCGGUGGCGAAGGCGGCAUCCUGGACCGACAUUGACGCUGAGGCGCGAAAGCGUGGGGAGCAAACAGG